UCCCACAUGCAGCAACUAAGACCCAGUGCAGCCAAAUUAAAAUAAAUAAAUGAUUUAAAAAAAAAAAGAAAAAGCUGCACUAGAUUGUAAAGACUGGGGUGGACCUCUUUCUUAAUGUCCAGUGUCCUUUGUCUUAAGAUUUGGUGCAAUAUGU
rnacentral:snoRNA from 1 species